CCUCGGAUCAGGUAGGGAUACCCGCUGAACUUAAGCAUAUCAAAAGAGGGCGG
rnacentral:rRNA from 1 species